ACAAUUUCUAGUAGGUAUUCUUUUUUACCGUUUUUACUCUAUUUAUCGCCAAAAUUUGGACCAAAUUCUAGAAGAAAAUGAAGCUUGAAGUAUAUAAAAUUCCUGAAUCCACUACUUAAUCUAAUUCCACGUACAUAUUUAUAAAUUACUCAGAGGUCAUUCGCAGAAAAGAUCAUCUUUGUGGUAAACAAUGAAUAUAACAAGAUUACACAUGACAAAGCAACUUCUUAGAUACGCAGUGCUUGUAAAAAAUGUCCAAAGAAUGAUCCCAAAUAGUGAUUAUUACUCUACAAUGACCUUAGAUGCAUUUGUAAAUGAGAUAUUCGAGCGGCAUAAAAAGGUCAAAUUUCAGAGAAGUGAUCUAGUCGAAGCGAAUACACAGUACGUAUACAAGUGAUAAAACUAAAUUAUCUUCAAUGGACCUGCAGAACAAAGUUACUGAACUAUUUGGCAAAAACUGGGACAGAGAUGUAGUGAAACUUAUAAAUCAAUGUAAGGAAUGCAAGAAAUUACUGACUUAUUCUGCAGUUAAGAAGCUAGUUUGAGAAAAUUGCCAUAAAACAAGAAUUCUGUUUGAAAGUUGAUCCCGUCUCAUAAAGAAGAAACGGAGAGUUCUUAUAUUCCUAUUUCAUAUAUUUUCUGACCAGAUGCCAGCCAAUGAAUUUUUUGAAACAUCUGAUGUAUUAUUAGAGAAAAGGCAAUGGCUUUCAGUAUAAUGGCCCUAAAGGACUUCAAAGAAGACGGAGUGGUUAGAUUACUGCAGACUUUACUUAAAUAUGAAAUGAUGAAAGAGUAUGUCGAUGUGUUACAAGUGUUGUUCAAUUUUAAAUGACUUCGACAGUCGAGACAGAGCAGAAAAAUCCUUCAAGUUGGUUCUGGCAGGCGGUCGAUGCAAUAACCCAGCCCUGAGCGUCGCUUUUCUAGGGACACGAGAUGGCACACGUAAACCGACUAUUCCUAAAAGUGGCGGACAAUGAAUUCCGUAUCUCAAAACCUUAUACAGAAAUGUCAAGUCUAGUAAGCGUCUCCGAAUUGACAGACUUUCCAUCUUAAAAUGCCUCAAUUUGUCCCCGUAUGACCUUAUCUGCUUGUGUAAGCCGAAUGAGAAGGCGAGGUGUCUUAAAAAUCUCUUCUGAAUCCGUUCGAUUCGAAGUUGGUGAACAUUGUAUUCUGGUGACCAUACAACACUGCAAUAUUCAAGGUUACUACGAACAUAACUAUUAUAAAGAGCUAUUUUAGUAGUGGGCAUGCGAAAUGAUUUAGUGUUUCGAAUGAUAAAACCCAACAUUUUUGAUGAUUUAUUUAUAAUAUUGUCUAUAUGGGGAACGAAUGUUAAUUUAGAGUCAAGUAUUACGCCUAAAUCUCUCAUUUCGG